UAGACAUGGCGUUCAGUAUGCGUCUCUCACCGCGUCAAUGGCCUCUUGGCACCGCGGAUCAAGUCGUCCAUCACCCCCUAUGAGCAAACAGAAGUUUGACAGGCACCUCGUGAGCAACACAUCCAUCCAAACAGCAGAGAUUUUCAAAUGUUGACGCAAAUUACCAAACUCGAGAUGAAAGUGAGUCAUACAGAUUUGGAACGGCAUGUUGAUCUAGUAGCAGAUACACCUUGUAUAGUUGAGGAUAAAUGAAGUCUGACCUUUGAUCAGCACGCUGCGAGCCUCGGCCCACUGUGUUCUGCCAUCUGAUGUGAGCAGACCGAUUGGAGGCAGACGCUCCUCUUCAAUGUCUGCCAUCUUUCUGAUUCGCUCCAAGUCCAGUACCUGAGGGUAUCACUUUGACACGUGAAGUUCUGCUUGGGAAAGACCAUCACAGGACUGGAGUUGACAG